AGUCUUCGGGGCAGGGUGAAAUUCCCGACCGGCGGUAAAGUCCGCGAGCGCGCUGCGCAUGAUCCGGUGAGAUUCCGGGACCGACAGUACAGUCUGGAUGAAAGAAGA
rnacentral:ncRNA from 1 species